GGGUUGUGAGGUUAAGCGACUAAGCGUACACGGUGGAUGCCCUGGCAGUCAGAGGCGAUGAAGGACGUGCUAAUCUGCGAUAAGCGUCGGUAAGGUGAUAUGAACCGUUAUAACCGGCGAUUUCCGAAUGGGGAAACCCAGUGUGUUUCGACACACUAUCAUUAACUGAAUCCAUAGGUUAAUGAGGCGAACCGGGGGAACUGAAACAUCUAAGUACCCCGAGGAAAAGAAAUCAACCGAGAUUCCCCCAGUAGCGGCGAGCGAACGGGGAGCAGCCCAGAGCCUGAAUCAGUGUGUGUGUUAGUGGAAGCGUCUGGAAAGGCGCGCGAUACAGGGUGACAGCCCCGUACACAAAAAUGCACAUGCUGUGAGCUCGAUGAGUAGGGCGGGACACGUGGUAUCCUGUCUGAAUAUGGGGGGACCAUCCUCCAAGGCUAAAUACUCCUGACUGACCGAUAGUGAACCAGUACCGUGAGGGAAAGGCGAAAAGAACCCCGGCGAGGGGAGUGAAAAAGAACCUGAAACCGUGUACGUACAAGCAGUGGGAGCACGCUUAGGCGUGUGACUGCGUACCUUUUGUAUAAUGGGUCAGCGACUUAUAUUCUGUAGCAAGGUUAACCGAAUAGGGGAGCCGAAGGGAAACCGAGUCUUAACUGGGCGUUAAGUUGCAGGGUAUAGACCCGAAACCCGGUGAUCUAGCCAUGGGCAGGUUGAAGGUUGGGUAACACUAACUGGAGGACCGAACCGACUAAUGUUGAAAAAUUAGCGGAUGACUUGUGGCUGGGGGUGAAAGGCCAAUCAAACCGGGAGAUAGCUGGUUCUCCCCGAAAGCUAUUUAGGUAGCGCCUCGUGAAUUCAUCUCCGGGGGUAGAGCACUGUUUCGGCAAGGGGGUCAUCCCGACUUACCAACCCGAUGCAAACUGCGAAUACCGGAGAAUGUUAUCACGGGAGACACACGGCGGGUGCUAACGUCCGUCGUGAAGAGGGAAACAACCCAGACCGCCAGCUAAGGUCCCAAAGUCAUGGUUAAGUGGGAAACGAUGUGGGAAGGCCCAGACAGCCAGGAUGUUGGCUUAGAAGCAGCCAUCAUUUAAAGAAAGCGUAAUAGCUCACUGGUCGAGUCGGCCUGCGCGGAAGAUGUAACGGGGCUAAACCAUGCACCGAAGCUGCGGCAGCGACACUAUGUGUUGUUGGGUAGGGGAGCGUUCUGUAAGCCUGUGAAGGUGUGCUGUGAGGCAUGCUGGAGGUAUCAGAAGUGCGAAUGCUGACAUAAGUAACGAUAAAGCGGGUGAAAAGCCCGCUCGCCGGAAGACCAAGGGUUCCUGUCCAACGUUAAUCGGGGCAGGGUGAGUCGACCCCUAAGGCGAGGCCGAAAGGCGUAGUCGAUGGGAAACAGGUUAAUAUUCCUGUACUUGGUGUUACUGCGAAGGGGGGACGGAGAAGGCUAUGUUGGCCGGGCGACGGUUGUCCCGGUUUAAGCGUGUAGGCUGGUUUUCCAGGCAAAUCCGGAAAAUCAAGGCUGAGGCGUGAUGACGAGGCACUACGGUGCUGAAGCAACAAAUGCCCUGCUUCCAGGAAAAGCCUCUAAGCAUCAGGUAACAUCAAAUCGUACCCCAAACCGACACAGGUGGUCAGGUAGAGAAUACCAAGGCGCUUGAGAGAACUCGGGUGAAGGAACUAGGCAAAAUGGUGCCGUAACUUCGGGAGAAGGCACGCUGAUAUGUAGGUGAGGUCCCUCGCGGAUGGAGCUGAAAUCAGUCGAAGAUACCAGCUGGCUGCAACUGUUUAUUAAAAACACAGCACUGUGCAAACACGAAAGUGGACGUAUACGGUGUGACGCCUGCCCGGUGCCGGAAGGUUAAUUGAUGGGGUUAGCGCAAGCGAAGCUCUUGAUCGAAGCCCCGGUAAACGGCGGCCGUAACUAUAACGGUCCUAAGGUAGCGAAAUUCCUUGUCGGGUAAGUUCCGACCUGCACGAAUGGCGUAAUGAUGGCCAGGCUGUCUCCACCCGAGACUCAGUGAAAUUGAACUCGCUGUGAAGAUGCAGUGUACCCGCGGCAAGACGGAAAGACCCCGUGAACCUUUACUAUAGCUUGACACUGAACAUUGAGCCUUGAUGUGUAGGAUAGGUGGGAGGCUUAGAAGUGUGGACGCCAGUCUGCAUGGAGCCGACCUUGAAAUACCACCCUUUAAUGUUUGAUGUUCUAACGUUGACCCGUAAUCCGGGUUGCGGACAGUGUCUGGUGGGUAGUUUGACUGGGGCGGUCUCCUCCUAAAGAGUAACGGAGGAGCACGAAGGUUGGCUAAUCCUGGUCGGACAUCAGGAGGUUAGUGCAAUGGCAUAAGCCAGCUUGACUGCGAGCGUGACGGCGCGAGCAGGUGCGAAAGCAGGUCAUAGUGAUCCGGUGGUUCUGAAUGGAAGGGCCAUCGCUCAACGGAUAAAAGGUACUCCGGGGAUAACAGGCUGAUACCGCCCAAGAGUUCAUAUCGACGGCGGUGUUUGGCACCUCGAUGUCGGCUCAUCACAUCCUGGGGCUGAAGUAGGUCCCAAGGGUAUGGCUGUUCGCCAUUUAAAGUGGUACGCGAGCUGGGUUUAGAACGUCGUGAGACAGUUCGGUCCCUAUCUGCCGUGGGCGCUGGAGAACUGAGGGGGGCUGCUCCUAGUACGAGAGGACCGGAGUGGACGCAUCACUGGUGUUCGGGUUGUCAUGCCAAUGGCACUGCCCGGUAGCUAAAUGCGGAAGAGAUAAGUGCUGAAAGCAUCUAAGCACGAAACUUGCCCCGAGAUGAGUUCUCCCUGACCCUUUAAGGGUCCUGAAGGAACGUUGAAGACGACGACGUUGAUAGGCCGGGUGUGUAAGCGCAGCGAUGCGUUGAGCUAACCGGUACUAAUGAACCGUGAGGCUUAACCUUACAACGCCGAAGCUGUU
rnacentral:rRNA from 1 species